rnacentral:misc_RNA from 1 species
UCUGUGCCGCAGCUAACGCAUUAAGCGCCCCGCCUGGGGAGUACGGCCGCAAGGCUAAAACUCAAAGGAAUUGACGGGGGCCCGCACAAGCGGCGGAGCAUGUGGCUUAAUUCGACGCAACGCGAAGAACCUUACCAAGGCUUGACAUACAGGGAAAUCCGGCAGAGAUGUCGGGUCCGCAAGGGCUCUGUACAGGUGGUGCAUGGUUGCCGUCAGCUCGUGUCGUGAGAUGUUGGGUUAAGUCCCGCAACGAGCGCAACCCUCGUUCUAUGUUGCCAGCGCGUAAUGGCGGGGACUCAUAGGAGACUGCCGGGGUCAACUCGGAGGAAGGUGGGGAUGACGUGUCGGCAUUAGCCA